GGGCCGGUGAUUUAGGGGUAUAAUGCCUCGUUCGCAACGAGGAUGUCGAGGGUUCGAUUCUCUCCCGGUCCACCA
rnacentral:tRNA from 5 species